rnacentral:rRNA from 1 species
GUCUAUGGCCAUGCCUCCCUGAACAAGCCCAAUGUCUGAUCUCGGAAGCUAAGCAGGGUCUAGUCUGGUUAGUACUUGGAUGGAUGACCACCUAGGAAGACCAGGUUCUGUAGGCA